UACGAAGGGGGCUAGCGUUGCUCGGAAUUACUGGGCGUAAAGGGCGCGUAGGCGGGUGUUUAAGUCAGAGGUUAAAUCCCAGGGCUCAACCCUGGAACUGCCUUUGAUACUGGGCACCUAGAGUUCGGGAGAGGUGUGUGGAACUCCGAGUGUAGAGGUGAAAUUCGUAGAUAUUCGGAAGAAUACCAGUGGCGAAGGCGACACACUGGCCCGAUACUGACGCUGAGGCGCGAAAGCGUGGGGAGCAAACAGG
rnacentral:rRNA from 1 species